UACAGAGGUGCAAGCGUUAAUCGGAUUUACUGGGCGUAAAGCGUGUGUAGGUGGCUUCCUAAGUCGGUUGUGAAAUCCCUGGGCUCCAACCUGGGGAAUUGCAGUCGGAUACUGGGGAAGCUCGAGUUCGGUGAGAGGGUGGAACGGAAGUUCCCGGUGUAGCGGUGGAAAUACGUAGAUAUCUGGAGGAACACCGGUGGCGAAGGCGGCAUCCUGGACCGGUAGUUGACGCUG
rnacentral:rRNA from 1 species